UGCGCCCGCCGGCGGCCAGGGUUGCUGCCGCCACUCCUGCAGUGCCCCCACUGGGGGCGCCAGCCUCGCCCCCGGAUGGCUCGGCCAGGCGCGAGCCCGCAGGCUCCAAAGCUUGCAGAAAUGGCUGUGGUUCACAGCUCAGGAGAGCAGACUCCAUAGAGGAAAGCGGGCCCACAAUGGGAGAAGAGGCGCUUUCUGCGGUGCCUGUCUAUCAUCCGGGCUGGAGACACAGGUCAUCUUCAAAGGCUGCAUGCAACUGUACUGAGGCUCACAUGAAAACAGAAACAGCAACAACAACAAAAACCUGCAGCAUCGAAGAACCAAACAUUAUGCCAGAAAAGACCUUUCUCCCCCCAAAAUAACACCCAUAAAUUUGGGUUUUUAGAUCAUAGACAUAACUUGUUGAGUACCACCAUUAAUUUCAGAACAGUUUACACAACUUUAUGAGUUUCUUUAAAAGUAUAGAAACGAAAUCCUGGGACUUAGGGAUUCAGUUGGAACAGCCAGCUAUACAAAGGCUCUAGCUUAUCCUAGGAUUUAUGUAACGGAAGACAUAUCCAGAAUGGCCUUUCUGAAACACAAGUCAGAAUCCUUCCCAUCCCAGUGUAAAAAACCCUGAGUGCUGUGUCUUUCUUUGCCCCUCCCUGACAUUCCACUUGGGCUUUUUACUUCUUUGAGUCCACAAACUCAUCUCUUGCUUCUUGUACUCUGCACACUCCCCUCUCUCCGUUUCUAGUGCUCUUCCUUGCCCUCCUUCAUUGAAAUACUCUAUAUUUCUGGUAACUGCUUCUCCGUGAACUCAGAGUGUGACUGUGAUUGCCUGGGUACUUUCUUGUCUCCUUCUAGAUUGUGAGUUUCUCCGUUUCUAGUGCUCUUCCUUGCCCUCCUUCAUUGAAAUACUCUAUAUUUCUGGUAACUGCUUCUCCGUGAACUCAGAGUGUGACUGUGAUUGCCUGGGUACUUUCUUGUCUCCUUCUAGAUUGUGAGUUGAUUGAUAACUGGAUCUCAGGCCUCUGUCUCCAAGUGCAGACUGGACCUAACACAUACUAGGAAUUCAAUAUAUAUUUACUGCUAAAUGAGAACAAGUGGUCCUAACUUUCACAUGACAUUUCUCUGCACUUUUGGAGUCACUACCAAAUUUCUUAGUAUGCUAAUUUCAAUGAAAAUUCUGUUGAAAGACAAAAAGCUCAUGGUGCUUCCAACUGCACUAUAUUAAAAAUAUUUUUCCUCUUUAAAAAUGGAUGUUAUAUCUAUCUCAUUUGAAUGAAAUGUCAUAGCUUACAAAACACAUUUUCAGAUUUCAUAUCACAUGUCAGUCAAACAAGUUAGGCCAGGGCAUACAUUAAUAUCUUCAUUUUGUAGCUGACAACACAGACCUAGUUAGAUCAACUGACUUGCCCAAAGUCACCCUUGCAAACGCUCAGAGGUAAAGCAAACACCAUCUGACUCAAAACCAACAGAGUCUGGACUACUCCAGUUUAGAUCUCAAAUUGUCUAUUGCAAACCUACUUAGGAGUAUGAGGCUAAAGGGUCAGCUGAUCUGGGCUGAGCAUGGAAUAUGCAGUAGCAGAGACCUAACAACUGAAAGUAGAACUGAUGCUCCUGUACCUAACUGACAUACCACCUUUCCUUCUGUAAGAACCCAAGUGACAAGAAUAAAGCAAAUCACC
ensembl:lincRNA Gm5432 predicted gene 5432